rnacentral:lncRNA from 1 species
UUUGAGAUCAAGCCAGCAAUGUCCUGUGCUGUUGCAUGUUGAGCUGGGAAGCGGUUGGAUCGGGCUGGCAAGAUGGAUGGCAUUGCUCAGACGAGAGGCAGUAUUAAUCUGCCGCUUUUAAGUUUAAGACAAUGCAAGUACUGCAGGACCGUAUGUCUCGAGGCCUGAACAUGUGUGAAACAAUGCCCGGAAUAUCAACAACUGUGGGCAGACAAUUGCAUCAAAAGGAGGUUGAUUGGAAACACUGAAAGCUGUUGAACGCAGUGCCAUGGCAAGCAACUAAUGACCAUUGGUUGAUGAAACACCAGCAACAUGUAAUCACCCAUUUCAGACCGGUCUUCACACAAAGCCUUUCGUUGAGUGCCAUCUGUGUGCUUCUCAGCUUGCACAUGGCAGCAUAACACUUUGUUGAGACUGUCUUGAGAUCGUCCUACACCACCAAUUCCAACAGCCUCCAUAUGCAUAAGGUUGCACUUCAGCAGUUAGCAUUGGCAUCCGGAUCCAUCCAUCAGGCAACACCUCUGUAGCGGCCUCUAUCUGGCGCAACAAGAGCACCCUGUGCUGCUGUAUCAUCUGCUGCAUGCACCUCCAGUGGAAAGUAUUUGCCCCCCAGUGGGCAGCUCCUGGUGCUGCCUAGACCUCAGCCGAAGCACCUGUCCCUGUCACACGAGAAAGAUCUUCCCAAGGGAGCAGACAGCAGUUGGAAGCUGCCAUCCUUGGCAAGCACUGUACCUGGCAAUGGGAUCGGCUGAUGGAUUCACAUGGGUCGUGGGUCCUUGCACAUCUGUUGCAGGGUGAUGGGCAAUGCUGCUUGCUGCACAAAUCGACAUGGGCUCACUGGUGAACAGGAGGCAAGGCAAUAUUGAUUGACAUUAAUGCAGGGCGCGCUGGCAGAUGAGCACCUGAUUUUUGUCACGGCGCAGGUGCAGAGUACAGCCUUGAUGUCGCCAAUCAAUCAUUGAUCCCUCUCGUUCUCCUCCUGCACAGGCGUUCGUAUGAUAUGUUUUUGUCUCUGUCACCAAGCACCAGAUCCGAUAGCGUGCACAAUCGAUGAGCUGGCACAGACACGUUCUUGCGCAUGCCUGACCUCAAAAAUUUUGUUAUUUUAAUUAGCUCACAGAGAUCUUUGCACAAGAGAUAACAUUGGUGCAUGUGCCGCACAGCAGCA